rnacentral:rRNA from 1 species
UGGGGGAUAUUGCACAAUGGGCGAAAGCCUGAUGCAGCGACGCCGCGUGGGGGAUGAAGGCCUUCGGGUUGUAAACUUCUUUUGCUCUGAACAAGGCAUGCUAAUGGGUGUGUUGAGUGUAGGGGUUGAUUAGCGCCGGCUAACUACGUGCCAGCAGCCGCGGUAAUACGUAGGGCGCGAGCGUUGUCCGGAAUUAUUGGGCGUAAAGGGCUUGUAGGUGGCUGGUUGCGUCUGUCGUGAAAGCUCAUGGCUUAACUGUGGGUUUGCGGUGGGUACGGGCUGGCUUGAGUGCAGUAGGGGGUGCUGGAAUUCCUGGUGUAGCGGUGGAAUGCGCAGCUAUCAGGAGGAAUACCGGUGGCGAAGGCGGGUCUCUGGGCUGUUACUGACACUGAGGAGCGAACGCAUGGGCAGCGAACAGG